rnacentral:rRNA from 1 species
AUUGAACGCUGGCGGCAGGCCUAACACAUGCAAGUCGAACGGUAACAGGAAGCAGCUUGCUGCUUUGCUGACGAGUGGCGGACGGGUGAGUAAUGUCUGGGAAACUGCCUGAUGGAGGGGGAUAACUACUGGAAACGGUAGCUAAUACCGCAUAACGUCGCAAGACCAAAAGAGGGGGGACCUUCGGGCCUCUUGCCAUCGGAUGUGCCCAGAUGGGAUUAGCUAGUAGGUGGGGUAACGGCUCACCUAGGCGACGAUCCCUAGCUGGUCUGAGAGGAUGACCAGCCACACUGGAACUGAGACACGGUCCAGACUCCUACGGGAGGCAGCAGUGGGGAAUAUUGCACAAUGGGCGCAAGCCUGAUGCAGCCAUGCCGCGUGUAUGAAGAA